CCCUUAGAUGUUCUGGGCCGCACGCGUGCUACACUGAUGUGUCCAGUAAGCACCUAACCUCUUCCGAAAGGAACGGGUAACCUUUGCAAAGCACAUCGUGAUGGGGAUAGAUUAUUGCAAUUAUUAGUCUUGAACGAGGAAUUCCUAGUAAGCACAAGUCAUCAGCUUGUGUUGAUUACGUCCCUGCCCUUUGUACACACCGCCCGUCGCUCCUACCGAUUGAAUGUUCCGGUGAGCUCUUCGGACUGCGCGGUCUGCAGUUUCUGCGUUCCGUGCGGAAAGUUGCGCAAACCUUAACAUUUAGAGGAAGGAGAAGUCGUAACA
rnacentral:rRNA from 1 species